AGUACGAGAGGACCGGGAUGGACGUACCUCUGGUGGACCUGUUGUGGCGCCAGCCGCAUUGCAGGGUAGCUAUGUACGGAAGGGAUAACCGCUGAAAGCAUCUAAGUGGGAAGCCUACCUUAAGAUGAGUACUCUCACUGUUUUAAACAGGUAAGGUCACGGCAAGACUAGCCGUUUAUUAGGCAUUAAGUGUAAGUACAGUAAUGUAUUCAGCUGAGAUGUACUAACAGACCGAGGACUUGU
rnacentral:rRNA from 1 species